rnacentral:rRNA from 1 species
UACGUAGGGUGCAAGCGUUAUCCGGAAUCACUGGGCGUAAAGGGUGCGUAGGCGGGUCUUUAAGUCAGGGGUGAAAUCCUGGAGCUCAACUCCAGAACUGCCUUUGAUACUGAAGAUCUUGAGUUCGGGAGAGGUGAGUGGAACUGCGAGUGUAGAGGUGAAAUUCGUAGAUAUUCGCAAGAACACCAGUGGCGAAGGCGGCUCACUGGCCCGAUACUGACGCUGAGGCACGAAAGCGUGGGGAGCAAACAGG